rnacentral:rRNA from 1 species
AAAAACAUGGCCCUCCGCGUAAAUAAUCACGGAAGGUCAUACCUGCACAAUGACCUACGGGUUCAAUUGCCGCGGUAACCUGACCGUGCAAAGGUAGCGUAAUCAAUAGCCUAUUAAUUGUUGGCCUGUAUGAAUGGUCUUACGCUGGUGGCGCUGUCUCGACGGCAUUAGUUUGAAUUUAACUUUUGGGUGAAAAGGCCCAGAUAAACCUAAAAGACGAUUAGACCCUAUCGAACUUUAGGUAGAUAGGCUACUGGGGCCUUAGAAUUACUAAUUAAGAAGUGCCGGUUGAGUUUUUAAACCUUUGGUUGGGGUAACCGGGGACUAAAAGAAACGUCCCCCCUUUUUUCGUAGUAGACACCCGUAUGAUAAAGGUAAUAAAGAUUUUACCUUUAGGGCAAUCGGCCUAAAGGAAAGUAACCUAAUAGGAAAUUAUAAAAAAAUAAACAAUUUAUACAUUACUUGUAUAAUGAACCUAUGGGCCUAUAGUUUUAUGUAGGUGUCCGUUAAUUGGGAAGAGUUACCGUAGGGAUAACAGCGUAAUCUUCCCGGCGAGACCACAUUAAGGGGAAGGUUUGCGACCUCGAUGUUGGCUUAGGGCC